GACGAACGCUGGCGGCGUGCUUAACACAUGCAAGUCGAACGGAGUGGCGAACGGGUGAGUAACACGUGGGUGACCUGCCCUGCACUUCGGGAUAAGCCUGGGAAACUGGGUCUAAUACCGGAUAGUGUGGGAUGGGCCCGCGGCCUCUCGGCUUGUUGGUGGGGUAAUGGCCUACCAAGGCGGCGACGGGUAGCCGGCCUGAGAGGGUGGAAGGCCAAAUUGGGACGGAGACACGGGCCAGACUGCUACGGGAGGCAGCAGUGGGGAAGAUUGCACAAUGGGCGGAAGCCUGAUGCAGCGACUCCGCGUGGUGGAUGACGGCCUUCGGGUUGUAAACUCCUUUCACCAUCGACGCGGUAGAUGGAGAAGAAGCACCGGCUAACUACGUGCCAGCCGCCGCGGUAAUUC
rnacentral:rRNA from 1 species